ACGGAAGGCAGCAGUGGGGAAUAUUGCACAAUGGGGGAAACCCUGAUGCAGCAACGCCGCGUGAGUGAAGAAGUAUUUCGGUAUGUAAAGCUCUAUCAGCAGGGAAGAAAAUGACGGUACCUGAGUAAGAAGCCCCGGCUAACUACGUGCCAGCAGCCGCGGUAAUACGUAGGGGGCAAGCGUUAUCCGGAUUUACUGGGUGUAAAGGGAGCGCAGACGGUUAAGCAAGUCUGAAGUGAAAGCCUGGGGCUCAACCCCGGAACUGCUUUGGAAACUGUUUGACUUGAGUGCUGGAGAGGUAAGCGGAAUUCCUAGUGUAGCGGUGAAAUGCGUAGAUAUUAGGAGGAACACCAGUGGCGAAGGCGGCUUACUGGACUGUAACUGACGUUGAGGCUCGAAAGCGUGGGGAGCAAACAGGAUUAGAUACCCUGGUA
rnacentral:rRNA from 1 species